rnacentral:rRNA from 1 species
CCAGACUCCUACGGGAGGCAGCAGUGGGGAAUAUUGGGCAAUGGGCGCAAGCCUGACCCAGCAACGCCGCGUGAAGGAAGAAGGCUUUCGGGUUGUAAACUUCUUUUCUCAGGGACGAAGAAAGUGACGGUACCUGAGGAAUAAGCCACGGCUAACUACGUGCCAGCAGCCGCGGUAAUACGUAGGUGGCAAGCGUUAUCCGGAUUUACUGGGUGUAAAGGGCGUGUAGGCGGGAAAGCAAGUCAGAUGUGAAAACCACGGGCUCAACCUGUGGCCUGCAUUUGAAACUGUUUUUCUUGAGUACUGGAGAGGCAGACGGAAUUCCUAGUGUAGCGGUGAAAUGCGUAGAUAUCUGGAGGAACAUCAGUGGCGAAGGCGACUAUCUGGCACAUAACUGACGCUGAGGAGCGAAAGCGUGGGUAGCAAACAGGAUUAGAUACCCUCGUAAA